ACGUACACUCCUGCGGGAGGCAGCAGUGGGGAAUAUUGGACAAUGGGCGCAAGCCUGAUCCAGCCAUGCCGCGUGAGUGAUGAAGGCCCUAGGGUUGUAAAGCUCUUUCACCGGAGAAGAUAAUGACGGUAUCCGGAGAAGAAGCCCCGGCUAACUUCGUGCCAGCAGCCGCGGUAAUACGAAGGGGGCUAGCGUUGUUCGGAAUUACUGGGCGUAAAGCGCACGUAGGCGGAUCGAUCAGUCAGGGGUGAAAUCCCAGGGCUCAACCCUGGAACUGCCUUUGAUACUGUCGAUCUGGAGUAUGGAAGAGGUGAGUGGAAUUCCGAGUGUAGAGGUGAAAUUCGUAGAUAUUCGGAGGAACACCAGUGGCGAAGGCGGCUCACUGGUCCAUUACUGACGCUGAGGUGCGAAAGCGUGGGGAGCAAACAGGAUUAGAAACCCGUGUAGUCCCAUG
rnacentral:rRNA from 1 species